rfam:Echinostoma caproni strain Egypt genome assembly, scaffold: ECPE_scaffold0007076
UAACCACACCGUUAGGAGAAGUCGGCAAAUUAGAUCCUUAACUUCGGCUCUGAGGUCCGAGUCGAACUGGCUGGAGUCAGAUACGUGUCGGUCCAGUUGGAGACUGGUUUCUCUGUUUCCGUGUCUGCCUCUGGUGGAUGAGGUUUGCGGGGUUACUGGACUCUGACAGAGUCGGUCGCGGGCGAAAUCAGCUAACAAUGUUGCUUGGCAAGCGGCGUGACGGGUAACUCCGUGCGCAAUGCGGUCUAACUUCGUUCGUUUGGCGUGCAACGGCUAACUCAGAGCUGGCACGAACCAGAGGAAUCCGACUGUUUAAUUAAACAAAGUAUUGCGAUGUCUACUGACCGGUUUUGACGCAAUGUGAAUUCUUCCAAGUGCUCUGAAUGUCAAAGUGAAGAAAUUCAAUCAAGCGAGGGUAAACGGCGGGAGUAAAUAUGACUCUCCACUCCAACCUUUCAUUUAACUCCUUGGAUCUAUCCAAGGCUUUUGAUUCUGUUUCCCAUGACACCAUCCUCAGGUCAACAGUAACUUUUGGAGUUUUCCCACUCUUCCUCGAUUACUUACGCUCCUCAUACGAAACUGCCUCCUGUUUUCUCCCAGACAGAUCGCAAGUCAUCCCCACUAGAGGCGUUUGACAAGGCGACCCACUCUCCCCCUCCUCCUUCUUGUGUGCAUAGAUGAAGUUUUCCACCUCUCAGAUACCUCGAUUGGUGUCCCUGCUCCCAACGGGGUCGUUGACGCCAUUGAUUACGCCGACCACCUCGUGUUAUUUUCGUAAUCGGCCCCCUCCCUCCAAUGAAAGCUAAUCCCGUGUUCUGCGACUUGCUUCCUAACCGGCCUCUCCAUCAAUUACCCCAAGUCCUUCUGCGCUUCCAUCGUAUCCUCCGGAAGGCUCAAGGCAACCACCCUCGACUUCCCUCCUAUUUUAUUGACAAUCACCAAUUACCUUCUCUCGCCCCACCAUCCAUUUUCAAUUACCUCGGUAUCCCAUUCACUUUUAAGAUUAAGGCCAGUGUGAACUAUAGGAAACUAAUGACAGACUACCUUGACCACCUAAAGCACACACCACUCAAACCCUUUCAGCGUCUUUUUAUUCUUCGAAAUAAUACUAUUCCACGCCUGUAUCAUACGUUAUGCCUCGGUAUCGUUCACAGGAAGUCUCUCUGCUCCCUUGAUAGACUAUGUCGUGCCGCUGUCCGGUUAAUUCUGCGUCUUCCAGUAGACACUUCAACAUCGUAUUUUCACGCCAAGACUGCCCAGGGCGGUCUUGGCAUCCUCCAUCUCUCUUCCCACAUCCCCUCAUAUGUCGUAAAAGUACUGAGCACCUACGUUUCUCUCCGAGCAGUGUGCUUUGUUGGUUUCUGUCCUCUUCUCAUGUCUCCCCUUUUCUCAGCCUCUCCGAUGCCUCUGUCCGAGGUCCUGUCCACAGAGCAAACCGGGGAUGCCUUCGGGUAGGCUCCCCUUGCUUCCUGUGAUGGGAAAUCACUUUCGGGUAUCCGGUAAGCUGGCCCAUUGUCACGCUGGCUGGAAAUUCCACAAAGAUGUGCCCGCGAGAUGUCGUCGGCAACAACAAACUGAGAUACAACAACCAGGGUUCGAAGAUCCCGUGGCGAUCGCAAGUCGGAGGACAUCUCCUGCGGGGGAGGCUGCAAUGCCCCAUAAACUCUCUCCAAAAUCCUUCGGAAAUGACCCAUCACCCAUGAGGCAACAAGCAAGAGGCACAAUGAAGUCGCACACACCCUGGCGAUAAAGCCGGCGAGGUAAGGGAUUCACUGUUUACAGUGAGCCGAAGAUCCCCCUAGCCACCGCAUUUUGUAAACCAGAUCUUUUGGUGCUAAACGGGUCCUCCGCUUUCAUAUGUGAAGUUGUUAUCUGUGACCCAUCACCAAUCGCUAAAUCCUACGCCGCGAAAAUCAAAAAGAACGGUUCUGCCGAGAUGGCUCUCCCAAUCGCAAACGUUUUGCGCUCACAAGGUAACACAACAACCAACAUUCGACACAUCCCGUUGAUAAUAACAUACAACGGUUUCAUCCACAAAACAUCACACAAUUUACUACAUUCGAUGAAUCUAACCAACACAGACAUCCAAGAUAUACUCUCAAUGGCUAUCAGUGGUUCACUGCGAAAAUGCUACAAAUACAUGAGAGGGAACUGACAAUCACCCAAACACUACAACAUAACACACUCAAGCCAAUUACUUGUGUUGUACCACAGUUCACAGACCAUACGUACUCGGUCAAUAAAUCCCUCGGGAUUUCUUGGCAGCUGAUUGUAUUAUUCAUAUAUAUAUAUAUAUCACUUGCCAAAAAUAAAUGUCACCAGCCAAAUACCUCGUCAUCUAAUUAGUGAUGCGCAUGAAUGGAUUGACGAGAUUACUACUGUCCCUAUCUACUACAUAGCGAAACCACAUCAAGGGAACGGGCUUGG